AAUUCCAGGUGUAGCGGUGAAAUGCGUAGAGAUCUGGAGGAAUACCGGUGGCGAAGGCGGCCCCCUGGACAAAGACUGACGCUCAGGUGCGAAAGCGUGGGGAGCAAACAGGAUUAGAUACCCUGGUAGUCCACGCCGUAAACGAUGUCUACUUGGAGGUUGUGCCCUUGAGGCGUGGCUUCCGGAGCUAACGCGUUAAGUAGACCGCCUGGGGAGUACGGCCGCAAGGUUAAAACUCAAAUGAAUUGACGGGGGCCCGCACAAGCGGUGGAGCAUGUGGUUUAAUUCGAUGCAACGCGAAGAACCUUACCUGGUCUUGACAUCCACAGAACUUUCCAGAGAUGGAUUGGUGCCUUCGGGAACUGUGAGACAGGUGCUGC
rnacentral:rRNA from 1 species